UACGAAGGGGGCUAGCGUUGUUCGGAAUCACUGGGCGUAAAGCGCACGCAGGCGGGUGGCUAAGUCAGGGGUGAAAUGCCGAGGCUCAACCUCGGAACUGCCCUUGAUACUGGCUAUCUUGAGUCCGGGAGAGGUGAGUGGAACUCCGAGUGUAGAGGUGAAAUUCGUAGAUAUUCGGAAGAACACCAGUGGCGAAGGCGGCUCACUGGCCCGGUACUGACGCUGAGGUGCGAAAGCGUGGGGAGCAAACAGG
rnacentral:rRNA from 1 species